rnacentral:rRNA from 1 species
AAUGGGCGAAAGCCUGACCCAGCAACGCCGCGUGAAGGAAGAAGGUCUUCGGAUCGUAAACUUCUAUCCCCGGUGAAGAUAAUGACGGUAACCGGGAAGGAAGCCCCGGCUAACUACGUGCCAGCAGCCGCGGUAAUACGUAGGGGGCAAGCGUUGUCCGGAAUGAUUGGGCGUAAAGGGCGCGUAGGCGGCUCGGUAAGUCUGGAGUGAAAUUCCUGCUUUCAAGGUGGGAACUGCUUUGGAUACUGUCGGGCUUGAGUGCAGGAGAGGUAAGUGGAAUUCCCGGUGUAGCGGUGAAAUGCGUAGAGAUCGGGAGGAACACCAGUGGCGAAGGCGACUUACUGGACUGUAACUGACGCUGAGGCGCGAAAGUGUGGGGAGCAAA